rnacentral:rRNA from 1 species
AGAGUUUGAUCCUGGCUCAGGACGAACGCUGGCGGCGUGCUUAACACAUGCAAGUCGAGCGGAAAGGCCACUUCGGUGGUACUCGAGCGGCGAACGGGUGAGUAACACGUGAGUAAUCUGCCCUUCACUUGGGGAUAACCACCGGAAACGGUGGCUAAUACCCGAUACGACACGUCUCUGCAUGGAGUGCGUGUGGAAAGUUUUUUCGGUGGAGGAUGUGCUCGCGGCCUAUCAGCUUGUUGGUGGGGUAAUGGCCUACCAAGGCUUCGACGGGUAGCCGGCCUGAGAGGGUGACCGGCCACACUGGGACUGAGACACGGCCCAGACUCCUACGGGAGGCAGCAGUGGGGAAUAUUGGACAAUGGGCGGAAGCCUGAUCCAGCAACGCCGCGUGAGGGAUGACGGCCUUCGGGUUGUAAACCUCUUUCAGUACCGACGAAGCGAGAGUGACGGUAGGUACAGAAGAAGCACCGGCCAACUACGUGCCAGCAGCCGCGGUA